rnacentral:lncRNA from 1 species
GCAUGAGACUGAGGAUUGUUGGAUGCUGAAUGAUGCACUAUGAUCCUACCGAUACGCUGCUUAUAGUCAUCAUAUCGACAUGUUCUUACAAACUGGUCAUUUUUCCAUGUUGCAUACACACUGAACAUAUUGACAUGAUACAUGAACAAUAACCCUACAGAAAUGAUGCACGUACACUGAACAUAUUGAUAUGAUACAUGAACAAUAGCCCUACAGAAAUGAUGCACGUACACUGAACAUAUUGACAUGCUACAUGAACAAUAACCCUACAGUAAUGCUGCACGAACACUGAACAUAUUGACAUGCUACAUGAACAAUAACCCUACAGAAAUGCUGCACGAACACUGAACAUACUGACAUGAUACAUGCUACAUGAACAAUAACCCUACAGAAGUGCUGCACGGACACUGAACAUAUUUGCAUGCUACAUGAACAAAAACACUACAAAAAUGCUGCACAAACACUGAACAUAAUGGCAUGAUACAUGAACAAUAACUCUACAGAAAAUUCAAAUGCUGCAGGAACACUGAACAUAUUGACAUGCUACAUGAAC